CGCGCGUCAAAAGCAACUGAGAUUGCCCUGCUUAUUAAUUUUAGAAGCUGGAUGAGAGAGCAGAUAAUAUUCACACAAACUUCCAGAGACUUGUCAUUAUAAUACAAUAUAACAAAGUAAACAGCUUCUUUCUUCUACCCACCUGUCUCACCCUGAGUCCCCGCAGCGUGUGUUGUUGUGGCUUUGGUUUUUUCAAACUCGACGCGCGCGCUGCGUGCGCUCCGCUCCGCUCUCUUCUCAGCGACGCUCGACUAGCACUUCCGUGUUGGCGAGUCCCGACGUCACGCGGAAUGUGAAGCAGGAAACGCGGAUGUGUUGCGCUUAAUCUGCAUCUACAGGUAUUCGCAAACAACUCUCUUUCUUUCUUCACUUUAUUAAUUCUUAUCAACACAAGACACCGUAGCGCCAUUUUUGAUCAUGUGUUUUUAUAGCCGUCAGUUUAAGCUCUGAAGGGUUCUGAUCGGAUUCGCUUAAUUCGUAUUUGUGUGUGUGUGUGUGUGUGUGUGUGUGUGUGUGUGUGUGUGUGUGAUCCAGACGUGUUCCGAUCCAUAUGUCAAACCCAAACCCCCUUUCAAGCUGAUCUGAUCCAAACGCAGUGCAUCGGACGCGGGUCGGACGGAACCGAGUGGAGGAAUGCCUACCGGUGUGUGUGGAUGUUGUGGUCCUCUGCGGCCACGCUACAAGCGUCUAGUGGACAACAUUUUCCCAGAGGACCCCAAGGAUGGACUGGUGAAAUCCGAUAUGGAAAAGUUGACUUUUUAUGCAGUGUCCGCACCAGAGAAGCUGGACCGUAUCGGAGCGUACCUGGCCGAACGCCUCAGCAGAGAUGUGGUACGACAUCGCUACGGGUACGUGGUAAUAGCAAUGGAGGCGUUGGAUCAGUUGUUGAUGGCAUGUCAUUCCCAGAGUAUCAAGCCGUUUGUGGAGAGCUUCUUACACAUGGUAGCCAAACUGCUGGAAUCCAGAGAACCCGAUUUACAAGUGCUGGGAACCAACUCCUUUGUGAAGUUUGCAAACAUUGAGGAGGAUACGCCAUCUUACCAUCGCAGAUAUGACUUUUUCGUCUCUCAGUUCAGUGCCAUGUGUCACUCCACACACGAGGACCCCGAAACUCGCAACAGGAUCCGUGUAGCAGGCAUUAAGGGUCUCCAGGGUGUCGUCAGAAAGACUGUGAAUGAUGAACUCCAGGCAAUCAUCUGGGAACCUCAACACAUGGAUAAACUCAUCCCCUCCAUGCUGUUCAACAUGCAAGAUAAUGAGGACUCCGAGAGCAUUAAAAGCAUAUAUUCCAGGUUGCAUUUAGACAACCAUCGUCUGUGGGACCCGAAUGAUUUUGCUGUUUCCUGUUUCAGGAUAAUCAUGUACUCAAUACAGGCCCAGCAUUCUCACCAUGUGAUCCAGCAAGUGUUGUCUCACCUUGACACCCACAGUAAGAACACCCCGCGUGUGAGGGCAGGUAUCGUUCAGGUGCUGCUGGAGACGGUUGCCAUAGCAGCCAAGGGCUCCAUCGGUCCCACGGUCCUGGAGGUGUUUAACACCCUGCUAAAGCAUCUGCGUAUGAGUGUGGAUUUUGAGCUGGGCGACGGUUCCCGCAGGAACUCCGCGAGCAGCCUUUCCUCCACCCGCACCAAAGAGAGCGAGGAGCGGAUCGUCCAGAAUGCUAUCAUCCAAACCAUUGGUUUCUUUGGAGGAAAUCUUCCUGAUUAUCAGAGAGCUGAAGUGAUGAUGUUCGUUAUGGGGAAAGUUCCUGUUUACGGCACGCCGUGUCACACGCUGGACACCGUUACGUCAGGGUUUAAGUGUAAAACGAUUUGUGCUGGCCUGCCCAUGGCGUUUCUGGAGCCAUUAUGCUCUAUCUCUUUGAUGGAAGACAGUGAACUACGGCAGCUCGUCUUGGAGAUUUUGCACAACAUCAUUGAUCGCCAUGACAACAGAGCCAAACUCAGAGGGAUCCGGAUUAUUCCUAAUGUAGCCGCUCUGAAGAUCAAGAGAGAGAAAAUCUCCAAACAGGAUGUGGUUUUCAUGAAAAAGCAUGGGCAGCAGCUAUACAGACACAUCUAUCUGGGCUGUAAGGAGGAAGAUAAUGUGCAGAAGAACUUUGAGCUGCUUUUCACAGCUUUGGCAUUGAUCACUAUUGAACUUGCCAAUGAGGAGGUGGUGAUUGAUCUCAUACGCCUGUCCAUCGCCCUGCAGGAUAUGGCCCUGGCCAAUGAGGAGAACAUGCCAAUGUUUAUUCGCUGUGGAAUCAUGGCAUUGAUUGCCGCAUACCUCAACUUCCUCAGUCAGAUGAUUGCAAAUCCCCCUUUCUGCCAACACGUCAGCAAGGUGAUUGAGAUGAGAAAUCUAGAUGCUCCGCACCUUUUGCCUGAACACGUCUUCAGAGAGAAGUGUGUGCUCCCAGACUCUUUAGACCGGGACGACGUUGGUUUGUAUUUUCAGACGGCUGAUCUGGCAGAAGCUCUGUCUGUACCUGGAUAUAACGUAGAGAGACUAGCUGUUCCGUACAUACCGCAGGUUACAGAUGAAGAUCGACUGCCCCGUAGGAAGAGUUUUGUCGACACUAUUUCUCUCCAAGUUGACAUCCUUUCCAACAGCUUGCCUGAUCAGCUUGCAGAGGAGAUCACGUUUGAGACCCUGAAGAAGGCCAUCGAUACCACAGGUCUGGAGGAACAGGAGAGGGAGAGGAGACGGCAGGUGAUGGAGAAGUUCCAGAAGGCUCCGUUUGAAGAGAUUGCCGCCCACUGCGAGUCCAAGGCCAACAUGCUGCACGAUCGCUUGGCUCAGAUAUUUGAACUCACCAUUCGCCCUCCCCCGAGCCCAUCGGGCACCGUGACGGUGACGUCAGGCCACGCCCAAUACCAGUCUGUGCCAGUCUACGAAAUGAAGUUCCCUGACCUCUGCGUGUACUGAACCACGGCCUUUCACCUUAACUCUAUCACACAGACUCAACCUUGACAUGUGACCACUGACCUUUAUCACACUUUAUGUGUGUAAACUCACCUGAGCCACUCAUCUUCAUUAGACAUCUUUCACUAUGAACGUCACUUACAUUCAUGUCCAGCAGAAAGAAGGGGUGCAGACUGGACGGCCACUUCAUGCCUCUAUUCUACACCAGUCAGCACACAGAGCUUUACGACCAGCUGUCCAGUCAUACACCAGCUCUGUAGAAUCAUGUGAAUCGUAUGUGUGUGGUUUUCACUUUGAUUCUUGCACUAAACGGCAGCUCCAAGAAUCAAACUGAGUCUUUUAAACACUUGAUUCUUCAGCUUCUUAAUCUAUUGAUUCAAAGGAGUCAUUUAGAAAAUGACUCACUCUGGAUUUAUUAAGGGAACUUAAUUGCUAGCAUUAGCUUAAGUGCUAGUUUAUGUUCAUUAACUCUCAUUUCUAAACCAUCAUCAGCAGAGAGAUUUGAACAUACGAUAGAUUUCUGCUCGCUUAAAUCUCUCCUAUAUAAAUAAUUAUAGUGUACAGUAUCGCACAGUAUAGUAUAGGCUAUUUUUGACAAAUAUAUAUAUAUAUACUUUUAGAUGAAAUGAUUGCUGAUAGUUGCAGAGUGUUAUUUGUAUUCUGUUUGCAUGGCUUAGCCAAUGUUUCAUUGCAAACGUUUGUGAGUUUAGGCCUUUAUUAAUCUACAAUUAGCCUUUAACUUCAAUGUUGUGGAUGUCAACGGGGCUUUUGUUCACCCAGAGUUCUUAGUGAUCACUAUGCUCUCCAUUUUGCCUUCACUGUAUAGAGAAACCAAAUCAUUUGCUUUUCAUCACCAAAGAGCUACGCACUUCCUUUAUGGCCACACACGGCUGCCAAUCAAAUCUUGAGCCAAUCAGAAACUGAAUUCUCUUUGAGGGCGGGAACACCACAGUGUUCUUGAACUCAAACCUCAGAACAGUUUCUAGAAACCCGGGGGCCGAAAAAUGAUGGAUUAUCAGUGAUAAAAUGAUCUGCAUUCAUCAACCAGCUGUUUUUUUUAUCGAGCCACAAGGACGUUGAAAUGCUUUUCUGCUUUUCAGGUGACUUCAUUCAUCUACCUUGGACAAAAUAAAAAUGUGUGUGACUGUUAGAUGCUGAAAUAC
rnacentral:lncRNA from 1 species